rnacentral:lncRNA from 1 species
UUUUUUAAUUCUUUCUCAUGUUCUUAACUAUUUUAAUUUUAUUUUACGCACGUAUCUAUACUAUAUAUAAAAAUACGUACUUUAAAUAUCGAUCAGUCAAUUGACUCAUUUCAAAAAAAAAAAAUUUGUACACAAAUUUGGCCCCGUUUAGUUCGAAGAAUAAGCGGGAUAAUGAAAAUUAUCUUCGCUAUUUCACCAAACGGGAUGAAAUUUAGCCGAAAUAUUUUAUCCCGGUCAAAUUUUGUUAUUCCCGAUUAUUUUGGAAUAGCAAUGAAUAGCAAAGGAUUUGCUAUUCCACCAUUUUGAUGGAAUAGAGCUAUUCCAAUACUUAAUUUCAAACAUAAUUAAAAUUAUAAAUUACAUUAAAACUAAAUUAUAUAAAUAUUAUAUAUUAUAUAUUAUAAUACAUUAUUUUUAUUAUAAAACUAUUAAUUGUACUAUAUUAAUACAUAUUAUUUAUAUUUAAAUAUUAUAAUAAAUUCUUUUUAUUAAAUUUA